rnacentral:rRNA from 1 species
CCUGGCGGCCGUAGCGCGGUGGUCCCACCUGACCCCAUGCCGAACUCAGAAGUGAAACGCCGUAGCGCCGAUGGUAGUGUGGGGUCUCCCCAUGCGAGAGUAGGGAACUGCCGGCA